UUGACAUCCUCGGAAUCCUGCAGAGAUGCGGGAGUGCCUUCGGGAGCCGAGAGACAGGUGCUGCAUGGCUGUCGUCAGCUCGUGUCGUGAGAUGUUGGGUUAAGUCCCGUAACGAGCGCAACCCUUGCCCUUAGUGCCAGCGCGUCAAGGCGGGAACUCUAAGGGGGACUGCCGGUGAUAAACCGGAGGAAGGUGGGGGAUGACGUCAAGUCAUCAUGGCCCUUAUGGGCUGGGCUACACACGUGCUACAAUGGCCGGUACAGAGGGUUGCCAACCCGCGAGGGGGAGCCAAUCUCAGAAAACCGGUCGUAGUCCGGAUCGCAGUCUGCAACUCGACUGCGUGAAGUCGGAAUCGCUAGUAAACGCGAAUCAGCAUGUCGCGGUGAAUACGUUCCCGGGCCUU
rnacentral:rRNA from 1 species